UGGGAAACGAUGUGGGAAGGCCCAGACAGCCAGGAUGUUGGCUUAGAAGCAGCCAUCAUUUAAAGAAAGCGUAAUAGCUCACUGGUCGAGUCGGCCUGCGCGGAAGAUGUAACGGGGCUAAACCAUGCACCGAAGCUGCGGCAGCGACACUAUGUGUUGUUGGGUAGGGGAGCGUUCUGUAAGCCUGUGAAGGUGUGCUGUGAGGCAUGCUGGAGGUAUCAGAAGUGCGAAUGCUGACAUAAGUAACGAUAAAGCGGGUGAAAAGCCCGCUCGCCGGAAGACCAAGGGUUCCUGUCCAACGUUAAUCGGGGCAGGGUGAGUCGACCCCUAAGGCGAGGCCGAAAGGCGUAGUCGAUGGGAAACAGGUUAAUAUUCCUGUACUUGGUGUUACUGCGAAGGGGGGACGGAGAAGGCUAUGUUGGCCGGGCGACGGUUGUCCCGGUUUAAGCGUGUAGGCUGGUUUUCCAGGCAAAUCCGGAAAAUCAAGGCUGAGGCGUGAUGACGAGGCACUACGGUGCUGAAGCAACAAAUGCCCUGCUUCCAGGAAAAGCCUCUAAGCAUCAGGUAACAUCAAAUCGUACCCCAAACCGACACAGGUGGUCAGGUAGAGAAUACCAAGGCGCUUGAGAGAACUCGGGUGAAGGAACUAGGCAAAAUGGUGCCGUAACUUCGGGAGAAGGCACGCUGAUAUGUAGGUGAAGUCCCUCGCGGAUGGAGCUGAAAUCAGUCGAAGAUACCAGCUGGCUGCAACUGUUUAUUAAAAACACAGCACUGUGCAAACACGAAAGUGGACGUAUACGGUGUGACGCCUGCCCGGUGCCGGAAGGUUAAUUGAUGGGGUUAGCCGCAAGGCGAAGCUCUUGAUCGAAGCCCCGGUAAACGGCGGCCGUAACUAUAACGGUCCUAAGGUAGCGAAAUUCCUUGUCGGGUAAGUUCCGACCUGCACGAAUGGCGUAAUGAUGGCCAGGCUGUCUCCACCCGAGACUCAGUGAAAUUGAACUCGCUGUGAAGAUGCAGUGUACCCGCGGCAAGACGGAAAGACCCCGUGAACCUUUACUAUAGCUUGACACUGAACAUUGAGCCUUGAUGUGUAGGAUAGGUGGGAGGCUUAGAAGUGUGGACGCCAGUCUGCAUGGAGCCGACCUUGAAAUACCACCCUUUAAUGUUUGAUGUUCUAACGUUGACCCGUAAUCCGGGUUGCGGACAGUGUCUGGUGGGUAGUUUGACUGGGGCGGUCUCCUCCUAAAGAGUAACGGAGGAGCACGAAGGUUGGCUAAUCCUGGUCGGACAUCAGGAGGUUAGUGCAAUGGCAUAAGCCAGCUUGACUGCGAGCGUGACGGCGCGAGCAGGUGCGAAAGCAGGUCAUAGUGAUCCGGUGGUUCUGAAUGGAAGGGCCAUCGCUCAACGGAUAAAAGGUACUCCGGGGAUAACAGGCUGAUACCGCCCAAGAGUUCAUAUCGACGGCGGUGUUUGGCACCUCGAUGUCGGCUCAUCACAUCCUGGGGCUGAAGUAGGUCCCAAGGGUAUGGCUGUUCGCCAUUUAAAGUGGUACGCGAGCUGGGUUUAGAACGUCGUGAGACAGUUCGGUCCCUAUCUGCCGUGGGCGCUGGAGAACUGAGGGGGGCUGCUCCUAGUACGAGAGGACCGGAGUGGACGCAUCACUGGUGUUCGGGUUGUCAUGCCAAUGGCACUGCCCGGUAGCUAAAUGCGGAAGAGAUAAGUGCUGAAAGCAUCUAAGCACGAAACUUGCC
rnacentral:rRNA from 1 species